rnacentral:misc_RNA from 1 species
GAUGAAGAACGCAGCGAAAUGCGAUAAGUAAUGUGAAUUGCAGAAUUCAGUGAAUCAUCGAAUCUUUGAACGCACAUUGCGCCCCUUGGUAUUCCGAGGGGCAUGCCUGUUCGAGCGUCAUUACACCACUCAAGCUAUGCUUGGUAUUGGGUGCCGUCCUUAGUUGGGCGCGCCUUAAAGACCUCGGCGAGGCCUCACCGGCUUUAGGCGUAGUAGAAUUUAUUCGAACGUCUGUCAAAGGAGAGGACUUCUGCCGACAGAAACCUUUUAUUUUUCUAGGUUGACCUCGGAUCAGGUAGGGAUACCCGCUGAACUUAAGCAUAUCAAUAAGCGGAGGA